GAGACUCUGUGCGCGUGCAUAUCAAUAAGCGGAGGAAAAGAAACUAACAAGGAUUCCCCUAGUAACGGCGAGUGAAGCGGGAAGAGCUCAAAUUUGAAAUCUUAAAGGGUUUCCCUUUACGAAUUGUAGUUUAAAGAAGUGUUUUCUGUUGGAGUUUCGGUAAAAGUUCUUUGGAAUAGGACAUCAUAGAGGGUGAGAAUCCCGUAUUUGACCGUUACUUUCCAGCUGUGUGAUACACUUUCAAAGAGUCGGACUGUUUGGGAAUGCAGUCCAAAAUGGGUGGUAAAUUUCAUCUAAAGCUAAAUACUGGCGAGAGACCGAUAGCGAACAAGUACCGUGAGGGAAAGAUGAAAAGAACUUUCGAAAAGAGAGUUAAACAGUACGUGAAAUUGUCAAAAGGGAAGCGUUUGACACCAGUGUUGUUUUUCCGAAAAUCAAUUAUGAAUGUUUUGUUUUUGAGGAGUUAUGACUUCAUCGGCUUGCUCCUUUCUUUACGAAACUUUCUUAAUGCACUUUUCGGUUAACAAGUCAACAUCAAUUUCUUUUGUUGUAAAAGGGUAUGAGGAAGGUGGCUUUCUUUUCGGAGAAAGUGUUUAUAGCCUUGUGCCUCUACAAUCGGAGAGAUUGAGGUCUGCAGCGUAGAUCCUUCGGGGUUAGAUACGUUUGUGCUAAGUUAUAGCUUUUCAUAGACAACUUGUUGACUAUGUUUAGUCUUGUAGCUUACUCGCUGACGCUAUUUUACCUACGCUUAGGAUGUUGACAGCAGUAUAGACUGU
rnacentral:rRNA from 1 species